CCUACGGGAGGCAGCAGUGAGGAAUAUUGGUCAAUGGACGGAAGUCUGAACCAGCCAUGCCGCGUGCAGGAAGACGGCUCUAUGAGUUGUAAACUGCUUUUGUACAAGGGGAAACCUGAAUACGUGUAUGCAGCUGAAAGUACUGUACGAAUAAGGAUCGGCUAACUCCGUGCCAGCAGACGCGGUAAUACGGAGGAUCCAAGCGUUAUCCGGAUUUAUUGGGGUUAAAGGGUGCGUAGGCGGAUUGAUAAGUUAGAGGUGAAAUGUCCGCGCUUAACUCGGGAACUGCCUCUCAUACUGUUGCUCUAGUGCGUAGCUGCGGUAGGCGGAAUGUAUGUUGUAGCGG
rnacentral:rRNA from 1 species